rnacentral:rRNA from 1 species
UACUGACGCUUAAGCUCGAAGGUGCGGGUAUCGAACAGGAUUAGAUACCCUGGUAGUCCGCACAGUAAACGAUGGAUGCCCGCCGUUGGCGCCCUGCGCCUGCGGCCAAGCGAAAGCAUUAAGCAUCCCACCUGGGGAGUACGCCGGCAACGGUGAAACUCAAAGGAAUUGACGGGGGCCCGCACAAGCGGAGGAACAUGUGGUUUAAUUCGAUGAUACGCGAGGAACCUUACCCGGGCUUGAAUUGCAGUCGCUGCCCACAGAGACGUGGGCUUCCCUUCGGGGCGUCUGUGAAGGUGCUGCAUGGUUGUCGUCAGCUCGUGCCGUGAGGUGUCGGCUUAAGUGCCAUAACGAGCGCAACCCCCUUUCCCAGUUGCCAUCGGGUGAUGCCGGGCACUCUGGGGACACUGCCACCGCAAGGUGCGAGGAAGGUGGGGAUGACGUCAAAUCAGCACGGCCCUUACGUCCGGGGCUACACACGUGUUACAAUGGCCGGUACAGAGGGACGGUGUAACGCAAGUUGCAUCCAAUCUUGAAAUCCGGUCCCAGUUCGGACUGGGGUCUGCAACCCGACCCCACGAAGCUGGAUUCGCUAGUAAUCGCGCAUCAGCCAUGGCGCGGUGAAUACGUUCCCGGGCCUUGUACACACCGCCCGUCAAGCCAUGAAAGCCGGGGGUGCCUGAAGUUC